UGAGACAACUUGAAGCAGGAGGCUCCCAGGUCAUAGGUAGGUUUAAAAAUUUUCUGAUUAGCAAUUGGUUGAAAGAGUUAUCUUAAGAGUUGGAAU